UGAGGAAUAUUGGUCAAUGGACGCAAGUCUGAACCAGCCAAGUAGCGUGCAGGAUGACGGCCCUAUGGGUUGUAAACUUCUUUUAUAUGGGGAUAAAGUGGGGAACGUGUUCCCUUUUGCAGGUACCAUAUGAAUAAGGACCGGCUAAUUCCGUGCCAGCAGCCGCGGUAAUACGGAAGGUUCGGGCGUUAUCCGGAUUUAUUGGGUUUAAAGGGAGCGUAGGCCGUUUGGUAAGCGUGUUGUGAAAUGUAGGAGCUCAACUUCUAGAUUGCAGCGCGAACUGUCAGACUUGAGUGCGCACAACGUAGGCGGAAUUCAUGGUGUAGCGGUGAAAUGCUUAGAUAUCAUGAAGAACUCCGAUUGCGAAGGCAGCUUACGGGAGCGCAACUGACGCUGAAGCUCGAAGGUGCGGGUAUAGAACAGG
rnacentral:rRNA from 1 species